ACAUGCAAGUCGAGCGGUAGAGAGAAGCUUGCUUCUCUUGAGAGCGGCGGACGGGUGAGUAAUGCCUAGGAAUCUGCCUAGUGGUGGGGGAUAACGUUCGGAAACGGACGCUAAUACCGCAUACGUCCUACGGGAGAAAGCGGGGGACCUUCGGGCCUCGCGCCAUUAGAUGAGCCUAGGUCGGAUUAGCUAGUUGGUGAGGUAAUGGCUCACCAAGGCUACGAUCCGUAACUGGUCUAGAGGAUGAUCAGUCACACUGGAACUGAGACACGGUCCAGACUCCUACGGGAGGCAGCAGUGGGGAAUAUUGGACAAUGGGCGAAAGCCUGAUCCAGCCAUGCCGCGUGUGUGAAGAAGGUCUUCGGAUUGUAAAGCACUUUAAGUUGGGAGGAAGGGUAGUAACUUAAUACGUUGCUACUUUGACGUUACCGACAGAAUAAGCACCGGCUAACUUCGUGCCAGCAGCCGCGGUAAUACGAAGGGUGCAAGCGUUAUCGGAAUUACUGGGCGUAAACGCGCGUAGGUGGUUCAGUAAGUUGGAUGUGAAAUCCCCGGGCUCAACCUGGGGAACUGCAUCCAAAACUGCUGAGCUAGAGUACGGUAGAGGGUAGUGGAAUUUCCUGUGUAGCGGUGAAAUGCGUAGAUAUAGGAAGGAACACCAGUGGCCGAAGGCGACUACCUGGACUGAUACUGACACUGAGGUGCGAAAG
rnacentral:rRNA from 1 species